rnacentral:lncRNA from 1 species
GCACCGGAGAGAGCGUCUUGUGGCUGCGGCCUGCCCCUCAGCCUCCUCCGCGCGGUUACCCCUGUACCCGCCGCCAUCCGUCCUGGCGCUCCGGAUGAGUCAAUGAGGGGCAGGGCCCGAGGAGUGGUCUUCCCAAGAACCCCUGGUGGCCUCCCAAGGCCGGUGCUGUGUACCUCCUCCCCGACAAAAGGGGAAACUGAGGCCCCGAGGGGAGUGGGAAGAGCCGGCUGGACGUCAGGCCCAGCCGCUGGUGCAGUGGUCCGUCCCCUCCGCCGGGGUGGGCCCCUCGGGUUUCGCGUGUCCUCGGGAAAGAGACUGGCGGGCCUCGUGGGCUGUGCGGCUAUCCUGGAGACAGAUGACAGCUCUCCCUUGGAUGGCUUUGCUGGUUCCGCACCAGCCAGCGCCCCUAUUUUUCCUGCAGCACCCUGAUCUGCACUCCCUGAGGGGCUCCCACUGUCCGCGGUGUGAGGAUGUCCCUGGUCCACUGUGUGCAGAGGCAUGGGAGUUGUCAUGUCGAGAACAUGCUAGACCUCAGUGUCCUUGAGGGAUGCCGCCUUGGGUCUGGAAAUUGUUAGAGGAAACCCCAAGAGGUGCAGGCACUGAGCCUCUCAGGACAAUGACCUGGGGUCCCAGCUCCCCUGGAGGGGCCUCCUCAUGAUUGUUUGGGGCUUGAUCACAGACCAAGAGUGACGAGUGAUGUCACCCUGUGACUCAUGGCCGGACCUUCUUGCCCCUAUUGUCUCAGCACAACAUUAUUUGACUUUUCCCUCAGCGUGGGUGGGCAGAGGAAAAGCCCUGUGGCUCUGGGGACUUGGGAUCCGGAGUUGAAGACCCUUCAGCUGGCUCUGCCCUGCCAGUGCCACAGAGUGCCAUGGCCCAGGAAGACAGGUUUUCUUCCAUCUAGGCCAGGCCAUCCAGUGGCCAUCCUCCGUGUCCUCCCGCCUCCUCCUGGUGUGACUUCUGAAAACCAAGAAUUUGUUCCUGUUGACUUUUUCUGUGCUAUGGACCAUUGUCCUCUCACCCACUCAAUAAAUCUUGAAACAUGC